CUACGUCGGGCCCGGUUAGUACUUGGAUGGGUGACCGCCUGGGGACACCGGGUGCUGUUG
rnacentral:rRNA from 1 species